CCUACGGGGGGCAGCAGUGGGGAAUAUUGCACAAUGGGCGAAAGCCUGAUGCAGCAACGCCGCGUGAGUGAUGAAGGCCUUCGGGUUGUAAAGCUCUGUCUUUUGGGACGAUAAUGACGGUACCAAAGGAGGAAGCCACGGCUAACUACGUGCCAGCAGCCGCGGUAAUACGUAGGUGGCAAGCGUUGUCCGGAUUUACUGGGCGUAAAGGGUGUGUAGGCGGAUGUUUAAGUGAGAUGUGAAAACCCCGGGCUUAACUUGGGGACUGCAUUUCAAACUGGAUAUCUAGAGUGUGGGAGAGGAGAAUGGAAUUCCUAGUGUAGCGGUGAAAUGCGUAGAGAUUAGGAAGAACACCAGUGGCGAAGGCGAUUCUCUGGACCAUAACUGACGCUGAGGCACGAAAGCGUGGGGAGCAAACAGGAUUAGAUACCCCAGUAGUC
rnacentral:rRNA from 1 species